GUGCUUAUAAUCCCAGCUACUCAGGAGGCUGACGUGAGAAUCACUUGAACCUGGGAAGCAAGAAGUUGCAAUGAGCCCAGAUCACACCACUGCACGCCAGCCUGGGUGACAGAGCGAGACCCUGUCUCAAAAAAAAAAAAAAAAGGGUAGGGACUUUAUUAUUUCACUAUUGAAUCUCAGUACCUUGGACAAUGCCUGGUUCAUAGUAAGUGCUCAAUAAAUAUCACUGGACUAUGAUUUGGGGAAAGAAUGGACAAAUGAAGCUAGGUGGGUUGUAGUUUGUAUGGUAGUUAAGCAUUCAGGCUCUGGACUCACAGAACCAGGCUCAAAUCUAGGUUCUGCUCUCUUCCUAGCUGUGUGACUUAAGAGUGAGUUGGUUGACCUCUGAGAGCCUGUCUUCAAUCACAAAAGGAGGUUGUAAUACAAGCUACUAUACAGGGCUUUUGGAGGAACUGAAUGUUAACAAUGCGGGUAAAAUGCUUGUCAUAUUUAAGUGCUUAAUAAUGCUAGCAGGUAUUAUUACAGAAUAUGAUAGGUACACACCAUGUUUGUUGGAUUUAAAUCUUUACGACCACAUAGCUCAGGUGGGGGUAAUUACAGGGAAUGCCCUGAAUAUCUGCCAGAGAGGGGAGGCUGGAAAGGACAAACCCUGAAAAAGCAUCUGGGACACAAGGUCUUUCGGGGAGACUGAGGAGUAUCCCAUUUGUGGGGCUAAAAACUUCCCUCCAGCUCAAGACUGGGUAACCCUUAUUUAUUUAUUUUAGGGAUGGGGUCUUGAUAUGUUGCCCAGGGUGGAGUGGGAUGGCUAUUCACAGGCAAGAUCAUAGGACACUAAAGGCUCAAACUCAAGGCCUCAAGCAAUCCUCCUGCCUCAGAUUUUUUUUUUUAAUUUUUUUAUUUUUUGAGACGGAGUUUUUGCUGUUGCCCAGGCUGAGUGCAAUGGCACGAUCUCAGCUCACUGCAACCUCUACCUCCCGGGUUCAAGCAAUUAUCCUGCCUCAGCCUCCCGAGUAGCUGGGAUUACAGGCGCCCGCCACUAUGCCUGGCUAAUUUUUGUAAUUUUAAUUUCACCAUGUUGGCCAGGCUGGCCUCAAACGUGGCUGCCCAAAGUGCUAGGAUCACAGGCGUGUGCCACUGUGCCUGGCCCUGCCUCAGCUUCUUGAGUAGCUGGGAUUACAGGUGUGUGCCACCACACCCAGCCCUCCUUAUUAUUAUUUUUUAAAAUUUGAGAUGGAUUCUCCCUCUGUCGCCUAGGUUGGAGUGCAGUGGCACGUUCUCAGCUCACUGCAACCUCCCCCUCCCGGGUUCAAGCAAUUCUCCUGCCUCAGCCUCCUGAGUAGCUGGGAUUACAGACACACAUCACCAUGCCUGGUUAGUUUUUUGUAUUCUUAGUAGAGAUGGGGUUUCUCCAUGUUGGUCAGGCUGGUCUCAAACUCCCAACCUCAGGUGAUCCGCCCUCCUCGGCCUCCCAAAGUGCUGGGAUUACAGACGUGAGCCACCGCACCCGGUCACCUCCUUACUGAUUUUAAACGUAAUGUUCCUUGGUGAAUCUCCACGUAAACUAUUUCUACUGUUGGUGUCGGGGACUGGGAGAAAAGCAGCUUACAUGGUAAGGGUGAAGUUUGGUGUGGUGGAUGCAGAGAUCCCUUGUGAGAUAUGAAGUCCCUCUUGGAGCAGACUAGGGCGUGUCUCAGGGAGGGAGCAAAAGGGCCUCUGAGGAGUUGGGAGUGAAGAUUCUUGAGGAUUGGGUGCUGGCAGCUGCCAGGCAUUCCUUCUGACAAUCAGACUGACCUCCCACUACAGGGCCGGCAUCCACUCAGCAAACAUUGAUGGAGUCCCGACUCUGGGUAGGCUCUUAAGCUGGGAGGCAAGUGAGACACAGUUCUUGCCCUCAAGAAGUUCACAGUCCAGUGAAGACAGAUGAAUCAAACCAUAAUUAUAAUGCCAAUUUUCAUUUCCUUUCUGCACGACAGCCUGGAUAAUUUUCUUGGUAUUUUCCCCCUAUUUUACUAUUUGAACAGCUGAGGAAGCACGAAUAAUAAUUUCAGCACAGUGCUAUGGUUCCUGGACCAGCAACACAGCUGGAUGUGAGACUAAUUGAGCAAGGAAGAGGAGGGGCUAAGGAGGGACUCCUGGAAGACUGACCUUGGAUGAGAAGUGCCAGGAAGGGCUCCAGGAAGAGGGGAUAACAUGCAACCACAGCAUGCUGUUUUUCUAUGUGACACAUGCUUAUGAAAAAAGUGCGUAUCAGAGGUAGGAAAAUUAGAAAAUGCAUUUAAAAUAGGGAACAUAACCACCCAGCAAUGUGCUAACAUUUUGGUGUCUAUCCUUUCCAGUGUUUCUCGAAUUUUAAUGCUCAUACAAAUGCCAUACGGAACUGUCAAAAUACAAAUUCUGAUGCAGCAGGUCUGGGGUAGAGCCUAAGAUUCUACAUUUCUACGAGACAGGCACAUUACCACUUGGCCACCGUGCCUGAGUUAGAGUCUACUUUUUUUUUUUUUUUUUUUUUUUGAGAUCGAGUCUUGCUCUGUCGCCCAGGCUGGAGUGCAGCGGCACUAUCUCAGCUCACUGCAACCUUGCCUCCUGGGUUCAAGUGAUUCUCCUGCCUCAGCCUCCCAAGUAGCUGGGAUUACAGGUGCCUGCCACCAUGCCUGGCUAAUUUUUUUGUAUUUUUAGUAGAUGAGGUUUCACCACGUUGGUCAGGCUGGUCUCAAACUCCUGACCUCAAGUGAUCCACCUGCCUCAGCCUCCCAAAGUGCUGGGAUUACAGGCAUGAGCCACCACACCCUGGCCUAGAUUCUACAUUUCUAAAAAGCUCCCAGGUGAUGCUGACACUGAUGGUCUUUGGAGUCACUUCAGCAAGGUUGUAGCCUAUAUGUGUGUGUGUAUAAUAUGUUCAAUUUUUCAGUAUUAUGAAUGAUGAUGUAGUGAAUCUUUCCCCACAGAUUUUUAAAUUAUUUGUACAAUUUUUUAAUGUAAAUUCCUAAACUUGUAUUGCUGGGUCAAAUUAAAGCAUAAUUUAAGGGUUUUGAUAGAUACUGCACAUUCUCCUCCAAAAAUGUAGAACCAGUUUAUAUUCCCACUAGCAAUUUAUAAGUGCCUAAUUCCCUGCAUCAAUAUUGACACAUAACUCUUGCCAAUUUUAUAGUCAAACAGUCAAACAGUUGUCCCUCAGUAUCCAUGGGGGAUUGCUUCCAGGACCUCCCACAGAUACCAACAUUUGCCCAUGCUCAAGUCCCCAACAUAAAAUGGUGUAGUACUUGCAUAUAACCUAUGCAUAUCCUCUCUUAUACUUUAAAUCAUCUCUAGAUUACUUACAAUAUCCAAUACAUUGUAAGUGCUAUGUAAAUAGUUAUACUGUAUUGUUUAGGGAAUACUAACAAGAAAAAAAGUCUGUGCAUGUUCACUGCAGAUGAAAGUUUUCUCUAAUACACAUAUAUACAUACACAUACAUAUAUACAUGUACAUGUAUACAUAUAUACACAUGCAUGUAUACAUACAUAUAUACACAUACACGUAUACAUACACAUAUACACAUAUUUAUACAUACAUAUAUACAUACAUGUAUACAU
rnacentral:lncRNA from 1 species